rnacentral:rRNA from 1 species
GAGUUUGAUCCUGGCUCAGAAUUAAAUACCCUGGUAGGCAUAACACAUGCAAGUCGAGCGAGAAAGUGACUUCGGUCGCGAGUAAAGCGGCGAACGGGUGAGUACAACGUGGAUAAUCUACCCCAGGGUCCGGGACAACCCCGAGAAAUCGGGGCUAAUACCGGAUAAGACCACGGUAUCCAAGGAUACAGGGGUAAAAGAUUUAUCGCCUUCGGAUGAGUCCACGCCCCAUCAGGUAGUUGGUAAGGUAAAGGCUUACCAAGCCUAAGACGGUAGCCGCCUUAGCGGUGAACGCCACAUGGGGACUGAGACACGGCCCUGACUCCUACGGGAGGCAGCAGUGGGGAAUAUUGGGCAAUGGCGAAAGCCUGACCCAGCGAUGCCCGCGUGAGGGAUGAAGGCCUUCGGGUUGUAAACCUCUGUCAGGAGGGACGAUGGGACUUUGUCUUGACGGUACCUCCAGAGGAAGCCCCGGCUAACUCCGUGCCAGCAGCCGCGGUAAUACGGAGGGGGCAAGCGUUGCUCGGAAUUACUGGGCGUAAAGGGUCCGCAGGCUGUCGGGCAAGUUGGAUGUGAAAGCUCAAGGCUUAACCUUGGAAUUGCAUCCAAAACUGCCUGACUAGAGUCCAAGAGAGGUUGGCGGAAUUCCCGGUGUAGCGGUGAAAUGCAUAGAUAUCGGGAGGAACACCAGAGGCGAAGGCGGCCAACUGGCUUGGUACUGACGCUCAGGGACGUAAGUUUGAUCCUGGCUCAGGAUUAGAUACCCUGGUAGUC